rnacentral:rRNA from 1 species
GGAGGCAGCAGUGAGGAAUAUUGGUCAAUGGACGCAAGUCUGAACCAGCCAUGCCGCGUGCAGGAAGACGGCUUAUGAGUUGUAAACUGCUUUUGUACUAGGGUAACGCUCUUACGUGUAGGAGCCUGAAAGUAUAGUACGAAUAAGGAUCGGCUAACUCCGUGCCAGCAGCCGCGGUAAUACGGAGGAUCCAAGCGUUAUCCGGAUUUAUUGGGUUUAAAGGGUGCGUAGGCGGUUUGAUAAGUUAGAGGUGAAAUAC